CAGUUUCUCAUUUUGAAGAUAGAAGCCACGAAGAUUAACAUGCUGGAGAUAAGACAAAUGAAACCUUUAAAAUCUCAACAUAUGAAAUCCAAAAUAAGCCCUCUGCGGAAACUCAAAAGGACGAUGCAAACGACAACAUCCGGAGAGAGUCCGUUGCUGAAGACAAAACUGUGAAGGAUGACAUGAAUGAAGCCCCAGUAUAGAGAAGAGAUUCCAGGGAAGAGACCCCAUUGAGUGCAAAAGACAAUAAAUUCAACUGGCAAGCAACAGUUUCUGACAGAACAGCAGAAUGAAGCUUUUGGAACCGCAGACAAAGCUUUAGUUGGAGAUUUGGAACCUGGUACUUUUCAAGAGAUAUGUUCAGAAUCAGCAGAUUCUGCUAAGCUAUCAUUGUAUGACCUACUCCAAGAUCCACAAGAGAAACAAUACAAGGGACUAAAAAUGUUUAUUGAAGAAAGGGAACUAAAGGUAAGC